rnacentral:rRNA from 1 species
UACGUAGGGGGCAAGCGUUGUCCGGAAUUACUGGGCGUAAAGAGCGCGUAGGCGGAAUCUUAAGUGUGGUCUGAAAGCCCCCGGCUCAACCGGGGAAGGUGGCUGCAAACUGGGCUUCUUGAGGGGGAUAGGGGAAAGUGGAAUUCCGGGUGUAGCGGUGAAAUGCGUAGAGAUCCGGAGGAACACCAGUGGCGAAGGCGGCUUUCUGGGUCCGCCCUGACGCUGAGGCGCGAAAGCGUGGGGAGCGAACGGG